rnacentral:rRNA from 1 species
UAGGGAAUCUUCCACAAUGGACGCAAGUCUGAUGGAGCAACGCCGCGUGAGUGAAGAAGGUUUUCGGAUCGUAAAGCUCUGUUGUUGGUGGAGAAGGAUAGAGGCAGUAACUGGUCUUUAUUUGACGGUAUCAACCAGAAAGUCACGGCUAACUACGUGCUAG